rnacentral:rRNA from 1 species
UACAGAGGGUGCUAGCGUUGUUCGGAAUCAUUGGGCGUAAAGGGCGUGUAGGCGGUUUGUUAAGUCAUGUGUGAAAUCCCUCGGCUCAACCGGGGAACGACGCAUGAAACUGGCAAGCUAGAGUACCAAAGAGGGGGUGGAAUUCCCGGUGUAGCGGUGAAAUGCGCAGAUAUCAGGAGGAACACCGGUGGCGAAGGCGGUUCUCUGGGCCUUACCUGACGCUGAGGAGCGAAAGCGUGGGGAGCAAACAGG